AUACAGUGUCAGAAGUGUAAGCAGUGGGGACAUAUGAGAAAGGAUUGUCCAGAACUCAAUGGUGGGGCAUGUGCUAAUAAGGCAACUCAUGGUGAUGACUCAGACAACAGUAGUGAUGUCCUCAUAGUAUCAGACAGACGGUCAACCAAAGGUGAAGCGUGGAUGUUGGAUUCAGCUUGCUUUUUUCAUGCGACACCCAACAGGGAGUGGUUCUCUUCGUACAAGUCUGGUGAGUUUGGUUUAGCCUAUGUGGGCGAUGACACAGGUUAUCGUGUUGCUGGAGUAGGUGACAUCAAAAUCAAGAUGUUUGACGGAGUUGAGCGGAUGCUUCAGGGAGUCAGGCAUGUGCCAGGGCUAAGGAGGAAUCUAAUUUCGCUUGGUGUUCUUCAUGAUGGUGGUAUGGUAUUUCGUUGUGAUUGGGAUAAGAAGACCAUGAGAAUCAUAGAAGAUGAGGUGACCGUGAUGAUUGGAGCGAGGACGGCUUCGCAUCUUUACAAGCUGCAAGGGAGCACUAUUGCAGGUGGAGUCACGGAGACUGGAGUUGCGGGAGUAGCAGCGGGGUCUCACGGCGGC
rnacentral:rRNA from 1 species